AUGAAGCUACUCACCAUGGCCGAUGUGUCCGACCUGUUGAUCUUUUGCUUGCUUGCCAGGGGUGUGAAGGUGGUGUACAGGACCAAGGAGCUUGAGGAGCAGCAGGCCAACCGAAUCUGGAACGAAACCUGGCUCGCAGGAUUCUUCUACAAGCCUUGCAACCACAAACUGUUUUUGAAGCAAGCACUCAACAUGGAGAUGGCCAUUGUGAUGGCCCGGUAUUCCAUCAGACGCCUGUUAGCUGACGUCCCCGAUGAUGUUGACAUGGUUGUUUUUCCUAACUAUGAAAGCAGCGUCGAGCGUGAUGAUAUAAAAGAUCCAUUCAGUGAGAAGAAAAAACUGUGCCGCCACUCCUCCCUCGAUUUCUGUCUAGGGUUUCCUGCCUCCGCCUCCGCCAUCACGGAAGCCGAGGGCACGCCGCCGCCUCUGCCAAUCCCUAGGGACGCCGCCUCCGUGGAUGAAGUGGUUCCAUUUGAUCGCAGUUUCUACCUUUUCAACUUGUUUGGUUAUGAGCCAAGACUGAAGAUAUACAAGCUUAUGUUGCCUCUGUUACCAUGUGGCAAUGCAACCAUGAAGGGCUUGACGUGUUGGCUGUCAAGAAGCACUAGGUCGACGGCAGGCAAGGCAUCCAGGAAGCCACAUCACGAGAGAGCGAUGACGCUCAAAGGUUGUGAAGAGGAGUUCCUGAUGAUAGCUGAAUAUACCGGCCUACUUGCCGACAACCAAGGCAAAAUUAUCAGCGUGUAUGCGAAACAGCCUGCUAGCUGGGUGUGUGCCUCCUGUUUGAGCGAGAGGGAGGACCUUUGCUGGGCAGUCAAAGGAUGUGCUCGGAUAUGGUGGUCCAACUGCAAGCGUAGCUUGCAGCUCCAGCUUAGAUUUGUUAGGAACCAAUCACCCAGAUGCCUUUCCUAG
rnacentral:rRNA from 1 species